rnacentral:lncRNA from 1 species
CUUUGAUCUUUGGUCUCCAUCACUUUAAGGUGUCAUCCAAGAUGGAUCCAGAGGCUAUAAGACAAGUGACGUUCUCCUAGUAUAGAUUAUGUGGUUUGGGACAACGUACUUCAUAGUUUACAACACAUAGGCCUAGUUUAGUGGAGUGUUUUUAUUUGUGCUUGUAUGUACAUGUCUACAGAGAUGCUUGGAUGCCCUGGAGGAGCAUGUGGCCAACAGCAGCUGUCACUACCCAGGAGCAGACAGAUGAGGAGGGGGAUGAAGAUAGAUCUUGGCGACCUCACAGACUCCCUCCAGGUCAGAUGAAGUCAACACCAGCGGAUCCCAAAUAUUUCCGUUCUGGAGACCACCAAAUCACUAUCAAAAGCUCUUGAUCUAAAAUAAAUAAACACUAAAACAUUUUGCAGACCAUCUGCACAGCGGACCACAGGUUGAAACCACUAGUCUACACGCACACACCCAGACCGGAACUCAAACCAACACAGAUUCCAACUUUUUCAGGGCUAGCCAAUCACAGAGUUCCAUUGUUACCUUAUUUUUAAUAUUCUACUCCAGAAAAGUGACAGUUGGUUUCAGUUAGCCCUGCUUGUGUGAACACAAGCUAAGCUAGCCCAGGCCCAUUCCGUCGUAUUGAUGCUUACACAAUUGUUUACAAGUGGGCUGUGUUCUUAUUGGCUCAUGCAUUCAUGGUGAAUGGGUUAUAGAAGCCCCUCCCCCUGUUGUGACUGGCCAGUAGCUGUGUGACAAGGGAGGGGUAGUAAACUGAGGGGCUGAUGGCUGUGUAUGUGUAGAAGGGAGGGUUUGUUUGUGCGUGUGCGCACCUGUCCUCGCGGCCGUGCCCUUGGGACAUCAGUAGAACAGAGUGGUAAUCACUAGCGAGCCUGUAGCAAGGACACAGCCGAGCAAGAUCCGCUUUUAUGCUGAGCUCUGCACUCUGCUUGCAGAUCAGUGCAGGCACACACACUCACACACGCUCUUGCUUAAGGGAAACGCUAGGCAUUUGGAGACGGAACUGUUGCACGUGCAUAUUAACACUCAAGCAGAGACACAUGCUUUCACACUCGCACGCACGUACGUACGUUCACAGAGGCAGCCACAAUUCUACCACCCAGCAGAGCAUCCCGAGGACAGGAGGAGGAAAAGUGACAGCAGCACCCUCUAUCCACUCAGGGGAGAUGGUGACCUGAGCCCAGGUCUGCACCCUGCUCUCCGCACUGACCUCUCUCAGCGGGCCAGCUCACUGCAUGGGACCUGAAGAUGAACCUAAACACUUCCUGUCAUGUUUCUUUUACAGUCUGAAUUUCGUCGCUGUGAUCACAGCAUGUAGAACCAGGCUGUAUUCGGAGGUCAAAUGUUCAGAUAUGUUGAAAAUACAGUGAAGUCGAAAGUUUACAUACACUUAGGUUGGAGUCAUUAAAAGUUGUUUUUCAACCACUCCACAAAUUUCUUGUUAACAAACUAUAAUUUGGUUAUGACAUCUACUUUUUGCAUGACACAAGUAUUUUUUCCAACAAUUGUUUACAGAC